UACGUAGGCAGCAAGCGUUGUUCGGAGCUACUGGGCGUAAAGGGUGCGUAGGUGGCUCUAUAAGUAUGGUGUGAAAUCUCCCGGCUUAACUGGGAGGGUGCGCCGUAGACUGUGGGGCUAGAGUGUGGGAGAGGAAAGUGGAAUUCCUGGUGUAGCGGUGAAAUGCGUAGAUAUCAGGAGGAACACCGGUGGUGUAAACGGCUUUCUGGACCAUAACUGACACUGAGGCACGAAAGCGUGGGUAGCAAACAGG
rnacentral:rRNA from 1 species